rnacentral:rRNA from 1 species
UAUAAUUUAUUUGAUGGUCACAUACUACAUGGAUAACUGUGGUAAUUCUAGAGCUAAUACAUGCAUCAAUACCCAACUUCUUGGAAGGGUUGUGUUUAUUAGAUACAGAACCAACCCAGGCUCGUCCUGGUUUUGUGGUGAUUCAUGAUAACUGAAUGAAUCGUACGGCUUCCGCUGGCGAUAAAUCAUUCAAGUUUCUGACCUAUCAGCUUCCGACGGUAGGGUAUUGGCCUACCGUGGCAAUGACGGGUAACGGAGAAUUAGGGUUCGAUUCCGGAGAGGGAGCCUGAGAAACGGCUACCACA